UACGUAGGGUGCAAGCGUUAUCCGGAAUUAUUGGGCGUAAAGAGCUCGUAGGCGGUUUGUCGCGUCUGCUGUGAAAACUGGAGGCUCAACCUCCAGCCUGCAGUGGGUACGGGCAGACUAGAGUGGCGGUAGGGGAGAUUGGAAUUCCUGGUGUAGCGGUGGAAUGCGCAGAUAUCAGGAGGAACACCGAUGGCGGAAGGCAGAUCUCUGGGCCGUAACUGACGCUGAGGAGCGAAAGCAUGGGAGCGAACAGG
rnacentral:rRNA from 1 species